rnacentral:sRNA from 1 species
GCCUCGUGCUCUUCUUGCCCCUGGGAGCCUCCGCUGGGGGCAUCCUGAGUCAGGCUGUGAGCAGAUUCGCCACCAGAGGGCGCCCCGGGCCCUGGGUCGUCCAAGGGGACAAGGACGUUCCCUGACCCCCCCAUCCUGCAGCCCACCUUCCUGCAGUGUCGUGGCAGGCGACACCGACUCCUAGGCGCCCUCCAGAGAUCCCAUCUUAGGCGACACCGACUCCUAGGCGCCCUCCAGAGCCAAGCAGCUUGCGACUUCUGAGUUGCACGGUCAAUUGGCCCGUGAAGGGGACGCCUACUUUCAAACAAGGCAGACAGGACACGACAGGACGGCGGCUCAUAGCACAGACUUUGGAUUGCAGUGGAUGGGACCAGAUCCUGGCUCCACUUCUGGCUAGCUGUGUGGCCCUGGGCAAGCUGCUUAACCUCUCUGGGCCUCAGUUUCUCCCCCUGUAAACUGGGGGAUGUGAACAGCGCCUGCCUCCGAGUCCUAAGGAUUGGGAGUAGUCGUGUAAAGUGCUCAGGUCCACAGGCCAUCAAUACUAAUAGUUAAAAAUUAU